UAGAAAAUCAGUUGGGAGGAGAGGCAGGAAGGUGUUGGCAGUUUUUACAAAUUAAAGGCAAGACUCUCCACCAGCUAAAAGAUUAUGACUCCCCUUAUGGCCACACUUGCUUUCUUGUGCUGGUCUGGAACUGAACCCACAGCAUCUCCGAGGUAUCCUGUACUUGGAAGGUUUUACUGAGGCAAGUCUACCCGUGAGGCCAAAUGAAAGAGCUUACUAGGCUCUCACCCAAGAAUAUAAACCCCAAUUGUUCUAGUCCAGCCUUUUAUGGGACACUAUGCAGCUGUAGAAAAGAAAAGAAGGCUCUCUUACC